rnacentral:rRNA from 1 species
CCUCCUAUUUUCAGUUGGUUUUGGCAGCGCGAGGACUAGGGUAAUGAUUAAUAGGGAUAGUUGGGGGCAUUAAUAUUUAAUUGUCAGAGGUGAAAUUCUUGGAUUUAUGAAAGAUUAACUUCUGCGAAAGCAUCUGCCAAGGAUGUUUUCAUUAAUCAAGAACGAAAGUUAGGGGAUCGAAGACGAUCAGAUACCGUCGUAGUCUUAACCAUAAACGAUGCCGACCAGCGAUUAGGAGACGUUGAAUACAAAACACCACCAUCGGCGCGGUCGUCCUUGGCGUGUCUCGGCUUCACGGCUGGGGCGCGCGAGGGCGGUUUAGCCCGGUGGCACCGGUGAAUGACUCCCCUAGCAGCUUGUGAGAAA